UUUUUGAAAUUUUACGUCUAGGAUAGACCAAGGACAUGGGAAUCAUAAAUUCGUGCCUCAAAUAGGUGUAAAAACGAGGAUUUUCCAAAAAAAAAUUCCUCUAAUUGAAAAUAACGUUAAAAUUAAUUAUGAAAGUUAUGUCCGUAUCUAUUUCAUUAAUAUUGCAAAUUUAAAGUUAUUUAAAACAAGGAGGUCACAUAAUAACCUCUGAAUCCUUUUCGUCAUUAAAAUGCGACUGAUAAGUAUAGAUAUUCAAUAUGAAAAGGGGGGAAAUAACCGUGACUGAAAUCUAAAUCUAAAAUUUGUUUUAAAAAAAUACACAUUUGACCAUGCAGAUGUAAGAAAUGAUACUUCAAGCAAUGAAACUACGAAUUAAAUGUGCCACUUUCAUUACGACUGAUAACCUAAAAAUGAAUCAUGCAUGCAUUUUUAGCAGACUUAACCAGGUCGGCGAUAAGAUAUCGAAUAUAAAAAAGAAGAUAUGGUUUGGUGUCAAUGAGACAACUAUCUACAAGAAACGAAAAUAACACAGAAGUACAAACUAUGGGUCUCCGUACGGCCUUCAACAACAGACAAAGCACGUACCGCAUAGUCGGCUAUAAAAGGCCCCG
rnacentral:lncRNA from 1 species